AAUUAUUCAUGUCUAAUUGGUUUAUUAAAUCACCAAUACAAUUAUAUAGUUUCAUUAAUAUAAAAUUAUUGUUAUUAUUGUAUGAUUCGAUGCUAAUGGUAAUGCUAAUAAGGGUAUUAGUAAAAGGUAUACUGAUUGUCAAACCUUUCACACUUUGAUUUUUUUUUUUAUUAUUUAUAAUUUUAAUAUAAUUAAGCAAUUGCAUUGCCAUUUGCGAAAACCUUUUCACACCUGAUUGACCAGUCACAGUGCCUGUCUGCCUCUCCCCACCACCUCUGCGUAAAGUAAACUCCCAGAAGUCAGACCAACUUAGAGCCAAAAUCCAAGCUCCCUAUGUAUCAAACUAAAAGCUCAAAAAUGCUUAGUUCUUGGUCAAUGUCCGCGAAAUUGCUCUGAUACUCCCUGGAAAUUUAGGAUGCAGAGGGACAAAAGCAUAGACAAGGCCCUGAAACCACAAAGACGUCUACGCAGAAAGGGCGGCGAUGGCAGUCGGCACCACAACAGAAUUGAAUAUAAUAAUUUUCGACAACUUUUGUACUUCUUUCUUUGUAUCAUUGUUUUGGUGUUUCUGAUGUUUUUUUCUCUCCAUCAUAUCUUGGCUUUAGGCUAGCUAUAUACACACAGAAAAAAGGUGGAUCGAUCUCCAUCCGUUGCGAUUACUCUUACUCUUCUUAUAGCAUGGAUGGAGUUCGAUCCACUUGAAUUAACUUCUUUUGAAGCUAAAAUUAAGUUCUUUUAGCAUAUGUACUAUUUGUGUUGUAAUACUUUCAUACUUGAAUUCUUCAAAGUGAAAUAAUGAAGUUUGACGAAUUAAUAU